rnacentral:tRNA from 1 species
GGGCCUGUGGUAUAGCUUGGAUAGCAUAGGAGCCUCCGGAGCUCUAGACCCGGGUUCGAAUCCCGGCGGGCCCG